rnacentral:rRNA from 1 species
GAUGAACGCUGGCGGCGUGCUUAACACAUGCAAGUCGAACGGAAAGGCUCCUGCUUGCCGGGGUACUCGAGUGGCGAACGGGUGAGUAACACGUGGGUGAUCUGCCCCGCACUUCGGGAUAAGCCUUGGAAACUGGGUCUAAUACCGGAUAGGACCACAUUUUGGAUGGUGUGGUGGAAAGUUUUUCGGUGUGGGAUGAGCUCGCGGCCUAUCAGCUUGUUGGUGGGGUAAUGGCCUACCAAGGCGUCGACGGGUAGCCGGCCUGAGAGGGUGUACGGCCACAUUGGGACUGAGAUACGGCCCAGACUCCUACGGGAGGCAGCAGUGGGGAAUAUUGCACAAUGGGCGCAAGCCUGAUGCAGCGACGCCGCGUGGGGGAUGACGGCCUUCGGGUUGUAAACUCCUUUCGCUAGGGACGAAGCGCAAGUGACGGUACCUGGAGAAGAAGCACCGGCUAACUACGUG